rnacentral:lncRNA from 1 species
CGCAUGUGGCCAUUGGGUUCACCUCUUAAUUCCCUGUCUCCUCUCCUCUCCCGAUCCAUCCAUCCAUAUCUCUCCCAUCUUUCUCUCCGCUCAAGCCCUCGACUACAUCACGGUGCACCGCGCCUCUGCCCCCACCUCCUUCUGCCGCCCGCCCGCGCCUUGCCGCUAGGUUAGGUCACCCACGAACUACCGACGCACCACGCCGCGCCAUCGACCUACGAAUCUACGAUCGCGGAGAAGUUGCAGAUCAUGGGAGAGCGGCCAUGCUCUGCCUAGAGAUGUCAUCUGUGGUGCCAUCUUCUUGCAUCGCCCGUGUGGAAAUUGGUAGGUGGCCGAUUUGGCCUUUCUUUUUGCUCCCGUGGAUUCAAAAUUAAGCUCACCUUCUAUCCUAUUUCUGUUAGUAUUUUUUGAAUUGUCCUAUUUCUAUUAAUGAGUUUCGCGAUUGACAUCUUUGCUGAUUCGCUUGGUACAAAUCAACCAACAACAGAUUGCUCGCCAGAGGCGGAGCUACCUCAAGUUACCAGGAUGCACAGGCAUUAGGGUCGAAAGAAAAUCUUAGUACGGGUUACCAUCUCUAUAGUGUGUGCAGAAGGUAGUAACAAUGACAGUGCAUCAGGUGUAAAAUUGCAAGAGAAAAACACAACCUCGUAAGCUGUGAUAGUGGACAGCAGGUCUGAUCGCUGGUGGGCAAGGCAGGUCUCGGCUCUGUACGACUGAAGGCUUGCUAGGCUAAUUUGAGAAUGAGGGUCACAGCGCGGCAGAACUGGAUCCCUGUCAGGCUAUAAUUGGUACAAGAUUGGCACGUUCGUAACCACAAAAUUCGUUUGAUUUCUCACAAAGUGGCACAUGUUUGCGUGGAUGCUUCAGCUCUCUAUAACCUAGGUGACAGCAAGGCAUCACAUGGCCAAAGCACGGACGCUGCAGCCUGCACUCAAUCCUACAGCGGUCGAGCAUCCGUGCAGCGCCGACCUGCUAAGCUCCACCCGCAAUCCUUGUCAAAAGACAUCACAAAGAACACACCCUAAUCAUAUUAAUGAUUAGUUUAGAAGUUGUUUUUCCGAAGGUGUUUAAUGGCAAAUUUUAACAUGGUCCCUCUUACCUUCUUUUUUACAUGUGAGAUAAGAAGGUAAGAGUCAAUCAAGCCAUUCAUUGAUGAGAUCAACGGCUAAGAUCUAUUUUAUACUCUUACCUCUCAUGUGAAAAGAGGGGGUAAGAGGGACCAUGUUAAAACUGCUCUUAUAUUCAUACAUUUUUUCCUACUUCCCUUCACAAACUUUUCGUGAAGUGGAGAAUCCAGUUUAUUUAAUAUUUUAGUGGAAGAUUUAUUUAUUUAGUCUCUGCCAAAUACAGGUACAUCGGUUUUUUUUUGCGGGGAAAUACAGGUACAUCGUUGAUCACAAAUGGACACAUAUCUUCCCAAACGAAAAGCAACAUCACAAGAAGUCCAACCUCGCACUUUUGAAUUUCCGUAACCAUCGAGAAGAAAAUAGCAGAAGGUUUAUUCCCAGGUUACAUUUAUUAUUUUCACUUCAUAAUUUGAUGUCACAUCUGGUUACUUUACAUGUACUACUAUGCUGGAUUAUAGGUAGGAUGAAUUAUUCUACUACCGUCAACUUUCCCUUACGAGUGGCAUCAAUAAUUGUGAGUGUAUUAACUCAGUAAGAACUUGAUCGUCCCUUAUUUGUUAUCAUAUGGUAGUGUGUCGUUUGUUUUUCUGAAUUUUAUAUGCAAAGAAUUUUUAAAUACCUUACCGUCAGAGGGAUUGAACUAAAUAUGUUUGCACCAUUGUUAAAGUUGUGUACCAGGGUUGAUUUUCUCCAGCUCGGCCCUGUUGAUCGCCACUGCUGUACACGCAACCAGAGCGUCUACCAUGUUGACCGCUAACACCAAUACGCAAGAAGAAACCUUCCCCGGUGGCGGUGAGGAACAUGACGAAGUUGUCGGUGCAUGAGUGUAUCUACGAGGUGAGGCCGGUGGGCUAUAGCUUUGUGGUGAUCUUUUAGCUGUAACUUCGAAGUUUUCUUCCCUUGCAAAAGAAGCGGAGCUGGUAGCCUACAUAUUAUUUUUGUCAAAUAAAAGACAUUUGUUCAUUGUU